UACAGAGGGUGCAAGCGUUGUUCGGAAUUAUUGGGCGUAAAGGGCGCGUAGGCGGUCGGGUAAGUCUGAUGUGAAAUCUCACAGCUUAACUGUGAAACUGCAUUGGAUACUAUCCGGCUCGAGGAAUGGAGGGGAGACUGGAAUACUUGGUGUAGCAGUGAAAUGCGUAGAUAUCAAGUGGAACACCAGUGGCGAAGGCGAGUCUCUGGACAUUUCCUGACGCUGAGGCACGAAAGCCAGGGGAGCAAACGGG
rnacentral:rRNA from 1 species